rnacentral:tRNA from 1 species
GUGUAUACCUCAGUGGUAGAGCAUGUGCUUAGUAUGCAGAAGACUCUAAGAUCAAUCCUCAGCAAGGCACA